rnacentral:pre_miRNA from 1 species
UAGGUUUGGAAGUAUUACCUUAGGUCUGGAAGUAUUUUCUUAGGUUUGGAAAUAUCACCUUCAAGGCCUAAAGCAAACUUCCAGACCUAAGGUGAUACUUCCAAACCUAAGAA